rnacentral:rRNA from 1 species
AGCGAACGCUGGCGGCAGGCUUAACACAUGCAAGUCGAACGGGCGUAGCAAUACGUCAGUGGCAGACGGGUGAGUAACGCGUGGGAACAUACCUCUUGGUUCGGAACAACACAGGGAAACUUGUGCUAAUACCGGAUAAGCCCUUACGGGGAAAGAUUUAUUGCCGAAGGAAUAGCCCGCGUCCGAUUAGCUAGUUGGUGUGGUAAUGGCGCACCAAGGCGACGAUCGGUAGCUGGCUGAGAGGAUGAUCAGCCACCAUUGGGACUGAGACACGGCCCAAACUCCUACGGGAGGCAGCAGUGGGGAAGUAUUGGACAAUGGGCGCAAGCCUGAUCCAGCCAUGCCGCGUGAGUGAUGACGGCCUUAGGGUUGUAAAGCUCUUUCAUCAGGGACGAUAAUGACGGUACCUGAAGAAGAAGCCCCGGCUAACUUCGUGCCAGCAGCCGCA